ACGACCUUACUUGAACAGGAUCUGUUCUAUAGGCUCGUACCGCGGCAUCCUUUACCAAUAAGGAGGCAAGCACUUCAGUCUGGUUGAUGCAUUCUGACCUCUGGGCCAGAGCGUGAUUGACGGCCAAGAUUUCUCUGAUGGGGUAAUCUGACGGCUGUAGAGGAUCGUUCCUGCCUGGCCUCGCCUGUGCAGGGUGGCCCAGAGGUUGUCUGACAGACC
rnacentral:snoRNA from 1 species